ACGAGUGGCGGACGGGUGAGUAAUGUCUGGGAAACUGCCCGAUGGAGGGGGAUAACUACUGGAAACGGUAGCUAAUACCGCAUAACGUCGCAAGACCAAAGAGGGGGACCUUCGGGCCUCUUGCCAUCGGAUGUGCCCAGACGGGAUUAGCUAGUAGGUGGGGUAACGGCUCACCUAGGCGACGAUCCCUAGCUGGUCUGAGAGGAUGACCAGCCACACUGGAACUGAGACACGGUCCAG
rnacentral:rRNA from 1 species